GCUUAGAGAGGGGUCAAUGUCCUAUCAGCUAGUUGGCAGGGUAAUGGCCUACCAAGGCUAAGACGGGUAGCCGGCCUGAGAGGGUGGUCGGCCACACUGGGACUGAGACACUGCCCAGACUCCUACGGGAGGCUGCAGUCGAGAAUCUUUCGCAAUGCCCGAAAGGGUGACGAAGCGACGCCGCGUGUGGGAAGAAGGCCUUCGGGUUGUAAACCACUGUCGGGAGUUAAGAAAUGUAAGGGUGUUAAUAGCAUCCUUGCUUGACUAAGGCUCCGGAGGAAGCCACGGCUAACUCUGUGCCAGCAGCCGCGGUAAUACAGAGGCGGCAAGCGUUGUUCGGAAUUAUUGGGCGUAAAGAGCACGUAGGCGGCUUUGUAAGUCAGUUGUGAAAGCCUUCUGCUUAACGGAAGAACAACAUCUGAUACUGCAAGGCUAGAGUACGGAAGGG
rnacentral:rRNA from 1 species